CCCGAACCCGGCAGUUAAGCUCGUCAGCGCUGAUGGUACUUGGGGGGUGACUCCCUGGGAGAGUAGGUCAUUGCCAAGA
rnacentral:rRNA from 1 species